AAUUUAAUUUUUUAAUUAAAAAGUUAAAAUAUGUUAAAAAGACGAGAAGACCCUAUAGAGUUUUAUAAUUUAAGAUAAUUAAGAUUAUUUAUAAAAUAAAAAUUGAAAUUAUUUUAUUUAUUUUGUUGGGGUGACAGAAAAAUAUAAAAAACUUUUUAUAUAGAAAAACAUUGAUAAAUGAUUAGAUGAUCCAAUAUUAUUGAUUAUAAGAAAAAAUUACCUUAGGGAUAACAGCGUAAUUUUUUUUUUUAGUUCACAUAAAAAAAAGAGUUUGCGACCUCGAUGUUGGAUUAAGAUAAAAUUUAAAUGCAGAAG
rnacentral:rRNA from 1 species